rnacentral:lncRNA from 1 species
GCCGCGCGGUGCGGGCAGCGGGCGGCAGGCCUGGGGCCUUGCGGCCACACGGCGUCUGCGCACCGCUUCCCCGCGGGGAGAUGGGCUCCAGGGAAGAGCUCGAUAUUUCAGGCCCUGGAGGAGGCAGGGGUGUGUUCUGUCUGAGACCCUUUGCAGGCUGAGAUCUCCGGAUCAUUCACACCAGUGUUCCCAAGCAGCCCGAAGCUGAGAGUUUUCGAACUUGGGCUGCCUUUAAAAACUCUGCCUUUGAAAAACAAAACAAACCAGUCGGGAUGUGUUGUGCAGCGUUGCCAGAACCAUUUAAAAAUACCGUGAACUCCUCAUGUUGUUACUUCUUCCUGCUGCAUUUGUUUGCUUGCAUGAAUGGGAGUACCUCUGAACUUCCUUUCCUUUUUUUACCUGGCAGGCAGGCAAGGGCUGACACGUUUCUGCAUCGGGGUCAGCUGUAUCUGUUGUUCCCAGCGAUGUUUGUUGGAGGCAGGGUGGAAUCAGUGGAGCUGACCUGUGGUUACAGGGGCAGGGGAAGCAGCGUGUGCAAGGGAAGCCGUGACAGGACGUGUUACUCAGCGUUUACACAGCAGUACUCCUCCCUUGAUGAAGCCCCAGUAUUUGCACUUCUGCAAACUGCAGAAAGACACAGGAACUGGUGGUGCUGGCUCUUCUCAAGGUGCAGCGAUGCCCUUUGCCAGCACAGCCAUGUGGCUGGACAGCUUCUGCUCCCUGCCCCACUGCAGGAUGUGAAGGAAGGCAGUUCCUUGGCAGCGCUGGUGCAGACAAACAGCUUUUUGUUGAAGCAGAACCCGUCCCUUUAG